CCUUUUCUUCUACACUCGCUCUGCUAAGAGGAGUUACCUUGGAAAGAACCAACCCCAAAGCCCUAUCAUUCCUGGUCAGUUAUAUGCAUUUUUCAAAAUAAGCAUUCCACUUAAGCUGUUAUUCCGGAAAACUGGAAUUUCACUGGCAAUCCCUGACCCAUUUAUGCACAUGAGUUUCCAAGGGUAAAUAUCACCUACUGUGUGGAAGCUGCAUAUAAGAUAAAAGCCUUUGUUGCAGCAUGUUGAGCAUCACUUGGCUUACAGGGGAAAUCAGAGCUGUGGUCUUAUAGUUGCUGCACUCAGCAUCUCCUUUCGUGGGGGCUGGGAUGCAUAGUGACUGUUUCCAGUCGGUCGGCCAUUGUUUUGUUUUCCAUAUUUGUUGACAAAUUCUUGUUAGGAUUUUGACAGAUUCAGCCUCUGUGGUUUGAAAACAUUCUCUCAAUAUUCCGUAUACCCCUGGUACUUAUUUCUUCCCAGUAUUUUCGGGGCAGCUUUUGCUUCACUUUCUAAAAUUGCAGGUUCUUCCUCAUAGGAGCAUUCUUCAAAGGAAUCUGUCAUCCUUUUGUCUCCUCUGUGGAGAUCUUCAGAGUACUGUUUCCACCUUCCCUUGCUUUUUCUUGAUGAGAUCGUGUGUGUCCCUGUUGGUUGUUCGGCACUCCUAAUCUAGGUUGAAACUUCUCUUUGAUUUCUUGAAUCUUCUAGAAGAGACCUCUUGUUCCUCCUUUUUUGUUGUUUCCUUCUAUCUCUUUGCAUUGGCCAUCCUAGUUCUCUUUAUCUCUACGUGAUAGUCACUGAAAAAUUCCAUUCAGAAUUCUAACCCUGCUUUUGUGACCUCGUGCUUGUGCUUCUCAAUUGUCUUUAACAAUCUUUAGUGUUUCUUCUGUCAUUCGUCUCUAUUUUUCUUUUCUUUUACUUGGGCAUUGUCUUUUCGGCUUCUUCCUUAAUGUUUAUGGUUUUAGUCUAGAGUUCUUCUGGUUCUCCCUCAAUUAAAUUUAACAAUGUAAAUCUGCUUUUUAUGUGGCCUUUAAAUUCAUUGGGGAAUGUUGUUUAUAUUAUAUUUUGGCACUAUGGUUUUUUUUAGUGCUCUUGUUAGCUUUACUCUGAUGUUUGAUAUGAACAGUUUGUGGUCAGUUCCAUAGUCUGCACCUGGUCUUGUUUUGGUAGCGAGAAUACAGCGUCUCCAUCUCCUGCUUUCACUUACAUAGUCUAUUUGAUGUCUACAUUGGCCAUCUGAUGAGGUCCAUGUACACAGUCAUCUGUUUGGCUGCUUAAAGCAUGUAUUUGCAAUGGACAGAUUGUUGGUUUCACAGAAAUCCACGAGCUGAUCUCCUGCUGCGUUUCUGAUCCCUAGUCCAAAUUUUCCAACGUUUAAUUCUGCUUUAUUUCUACUUUUGCAUCCCAGUCGCCUAUAAUUACAAGCCUAUCUUGUUUGGUGUAUGAUCAAUUUCUUCUUGGAUACUUGCAUAAAAACUUUCAACUUCAUCUUCUUCAGCCUCUGUAGUUGGAGCAUAGACUUGAAUGACGGUUAUGUUAACAGGUUUUCCCAGGAGUCUAGCUGAUACUAUUCAGUCAGAGCUUGCACAAGAGCCCCUCACUGCCUGUGCUAUAUCGUGCUUCACUAUUGGAGCCACUGGGUUUCUUCUGAGUUUGUCAUUUCCAGAUUAGAACACUUUGUAGUUGUCUCACUGAAAGUGUCCCAUUCUAGUCCAUUUUAGUUCACUAACACCAAGCACGGUGAUAUUUAAACAUUCCAUUUCUUGCUUUACAAUUUCCAGGUUACCUUGGCUCAUGCUUCUCAUGUUCCAUGUUCCAAUCGGAUGUCUGGUACAACCUCAGACUUUCCUCUCAACUUCGUGCACUUCAGCUGCUGGAUGUCCUUCAACUUUAGUCUACUUGCGUCAUUAGCAACAGCGCUAUUUGUACCUGUUCUUUGCUCUUCCCCAGGAGCUGUUUGAGUGCCUUCCGACCUGGGGGUGUCAUCUUCCAGCACUCUUCAUUUUGGACUGUCUCAUCAUAACGUUCUCAAGGUAAAAGAAAAGAAAGAAAAAAAGGGAAAGCAUAGCAGUGGUUUACCAUUGCCUUCUGCUGCACAGCGCAUGGGUCCAAACCACAUGUGUGUGAAUCCGUGGUGUCACAAUCACCAGAUACCAAUGAAAUGUAGGUGCUCCUGUGAGCCCUAGAGAAAAUUAAGCCUGAACUAUGACUGGAGGCAAAAAUGGUAAAACUAAGGCUGCCCUACUUUGGGCACAUCACAAGAAGGCAGGAUUCUUUGAAAAAGAGAGUAAUGCUGGGAAAAAUAGAAGGCAGCAGGAGAAGAGGAAGACCAAAUAUGAGAUGGAAUGACUUCAUAAAGGAAAUCACAGGCAUGAGUCUGCAGAAGCUGCGUGGGGCUGUUGAGGACAGGCCAUUGUGAACACUCAUUGAAAGGGUCACUAGGAGUUGAAGCCAACUUGACAGCACGUAACAACGAAUGUACAAGCUAAAUAUAAAAGCAGAGAUGAGUAAGAAUGGUGACACAAUUACAUGAUAAAAUGUCUGUGGUAGUUGGGACAAAUGGCAGAAGACAACUGCAGUUUGAUCACAAAUCAUGGAGCAAUUACGUGCCUUCGCCAGUUGACACAGAGUGGAGAACUUUGGGAAGUGCUGAAUACCUGAGGAUAAAUCAACUCCUCCUCUGGGAGAUGCCAUAAAGAAACUUACACACACACGGGUGCACACACACAUAUACACACAAGCCACGAGAGGGAAAUGGGAUUGUACCUCAGAUGGUCAUCAAAGCGUACGGUGGCGGCACAGUGGAAGAUAAUGUU